rnacentral:rRNA from 1 species
GACAGAGGGUGCAAACGUUGUUCGGAAUUACUGGGCGUAAAGCGAGUGUAGGCGGUCCGCUAAGUCGGGUGUGAAAGCCCUGGGCUCAACCCAGGAAGUGCACUCGAAACUGGCGGGCUAGAGUACUGGAGAGGUUGGUGGAAUUCUCGGUGUAGAGGUGAAAUUCGUAGAUAUCGAGAGGAACACCGGUGGCGAAGGCGGCCAUCUGGACAGAUACUGACGCUGAGACUCGAAAGCGUGGGGAGCAAACAGG